rnacentral:tRNA from 1 species
ACUCUACUAGGAUGAUGCACCAGAAAAGGUCA